GGGGUAGAAUUCCAGUGUACGGUGAAAGCGUAGAGUCUGGAGGAAACCGGUGGCGAAGCGCCCCCUGGACAAAACUGACGCUCAGGUGCGAAACGUGGGGACAAACAGGAUUAGAUCCCUGGUAGUCACGCCGUAAACGAUGUCGACUAGGAGGUUGUAUCCUUGAGACGUGACUUCCGGAGCUAACGCGAUAAGUCGACCGCCUGGGGAGUACGGCCGCAAGGUUAAAACUCAAAUGAAUUGACGGGGGCCCGCACAAGCGGUGGAGCAUGUGGUUUAAUUCGAUGCAACGCGAAGAACCUUACCUACUCUUGACAUCCAGAGAACUUUCCAGAGAUGGAUUGGUGCCUUCGGGAACUCUGAGACAGGUGCUGCAUGGCUGUCGUCAGCUCGUGUUGUGAAAUGUUGGGUUAAGUCCCGCAACGAGCGCAACCCUUAUCCUUUGUUGCCAGCGGUUCGGCCGGGAACUCAAAGGAGACUGCCAGUGAUAAACUGGAGGAAGGUGGGGAUGACGUCAAGUCAUCAUGGCCCUUACGAGUAGGGCUACACACGUGCUACAAUGGUCGCAUACAAAGAGAAGCAACCUCGCGAGAGGAAGCGGAUCCUCAUAAAGUGCGUCGUAGUCCGGAUUGGAGUCUGCAACUCGACUCCAUGAAGUCGGAAUCGCUAGUAAUCGUGGAUCAGAAU
rnacentral:rRNA from 1 species